GAUGAACGCUAGCGAUAGGCUUAACACAUGCAAGUCGAGGGGCAGCAUGGUCUUAGCUUGCUAAGACUGAUGGCGACCGGCGCACGGGUGCGUAACGCGUAUGCAACUUGCCUCACAGAGGGGGAUAACCCGUCGAAAGACGGACUAAUACCGCGUACACUUGGGAUAGGGCAUCCUGACCCAAGGAAAUGAAAUUCGCUGUGAGAUAGGCAUGCGUCCCAUUAGCUAGUUGGUGAGGUAACGGCUCACCAAGGCGACGAUGGGUAGGGGAACUGAGAGGUGGAAACCCCACACUGGUACUGAGACACGGACCAGACUCCUACGGGAGGCAGCAGUGAGGAAUAGUGGUCAAUGGGCGAGAGCCUGAACCAGCCAAGUCGCGUGAAGGAUGACUGUCUUAUGGAUUGUAAACUUCUUUUAUACGGGAAUAACAAGAGUCACGUGUGGCUCCCUGCAUGUACCGGAUGAAUAAGCAUCGGCUAACUCCGUG
rnacentral:rRNA from 1 species